CACCGCGGUUAUACGAGAGGCUCAAGCUGACAGUCGCCGGCGUAAAGGGUGGUUAAUCUUCCACCAAUACUAAAGCCGAACAUUUCCAAAGUUGUAUAACACAUAUCGGAAACAUGAAGAACACCAACGAAAGUGGCUCUAUAUUCUUUGAACCCACGAAAGCUAGGAAA
rnacentral:rRNA from 1 species